CCCUUAGAGUUUGAUCCUGGCUCAGAUUGAACGCUGGCGGCAUGCCUUACACAUGCAAGUCGAACGGCAGCACGGGAGCAAUCCUGGUGGCGAGUGGCGAACGGGUGAGUAAUACAUCGGAACGUGCCCAGUUGUGGGGGAUAGCCCGGCGAAAGCCGGAUUAAUACCGCAUACGACCUACGGGUGAAAGCGGGGGAUCGCAAGACCUCGCGCAAUUGGAGCGGCCGAUGGCAGAUUAGCUUGUUGGUGGGGUAAAAGCCUACCAAGGCGACGAUCUGUAGCUGGUCUGAGAGGACGACCAGCCACACUGGGACUGAGACACGGCCCAGACUCCUACGGGAGGCAGCAGUGGGGAAUUUUGGACAAUGGGCGCAAGCCUGAUCCAGCAAUGCCGCGUGAGUGAAGAAGGCCUUCGGGUUGUAAAGCUCUUUUGUCAGGGAAGAAACGGUGAGGGCUAAUAUCCCUUGCUAAUGACGGUACCUGAAGAAUAAGCACCGGCUAACUACGUGCCAGCAGCCGCGGUAAUACGUAGGGUGCAAGCGUUAAUCGGAAUUACUGGGCGUAAAGCGUGCGCAGGCGGUUUUGUAAGUCUGUCGUGAAAUCCCCGGGCUCAACCUGGGAAUUGCGAUGGAGACUGCAAGGCUAGAAUCUGGCAGAGGGGGGUAGAAUUCCACGUGUAGCAGUGAAAUGCGUAGAGAUGUGGAGGAACACCGAUG
rnacentral:rRNA from 1 species